AACAGCAAGUAGGAAAAACAUAAGAUUGAAUCUCUGAGUAGGAAAGCGGCAGACUCUGAAAUGGAGAAGAGUGCUCUUCCUAAGCCUCUUCAGAAGGAAGAGAAACCAGCACUGCUGCAUCCAGCAGAGAUGAGAAGAGAGAUCCAGUACUAGGUCGAGAGAAUGACACACAGCAGUGUUGCUUGGAGCUGACCUUUUCGUACAGCAAUGCAAGAGCUGAGAUAAAGGAGUGACUAAUGCUGGAAAAAGGAAUUUUUUCCGAGAAGGAAAUUCCAGCAGAUGAUGCUGCCAAAAGCACAAAGAAUGCAGUCAGCCUCUUGAAAGCAAAAUAACUCCCAGGGCACUGCUUGUCAAGACUCUUCAGGGCAUUCUCUUGUGUGGAUUCUCAGACACGUAGGAUGGGCUGUGUGCUCUUGACAUUGCUGCCAUGGCUGUGGAGCAGAG
rnacentral:lncRNA from 12 species